rnacentral:rRNA from 1 species
CCUACGGGGGGCAGCAGUGAGGAAUAUUGGUCAAUGGACGCAAGUCUGAACCAGCCAUGCCGCGUGCAGGAUGACGGCUCUAUGAGUUGUAAACUGCUUUUGCACGAGGGUAAACGCAGAUACGCGUAUCUGUCUGAAAGUAUCGUACGAAUAAGGAUAGGCUAACUCCGUGCCAGCAGCCGCGGUAAUACGGAGGAUUCAAGUGGUAUCCGGAUUUAUUGGGUUUAAAGGGUGCGUAGGCGGUCGGAUAAGUUAGCGGUGAAAUCCCGAGGCUCAACUUCGGAAUUGCCUCUGAUACUGUUCGGCUAGAGAGUAGUGGCGGUAGGCGGAAUUCAUGGUGUAGCGGUGAAAUGCUUAGAGAUCAUGCAGAACACCGAGUGCGAAGGCAGCUUACCAAGCUACUUCUGACGUUGAGGCACGAAAGCGUGGGUAGCAAACAGGAUUAGAUACCCUGGUAGUC